CCUACGGGAGGCAGCAGUAAGGAAUAUUGGUCAAUGGGGGGAACCCUGAACCAGCCAUGCCGCGUGCAGGAAGACGGCCCUACGGGUUGUAAACUGCUUUUGUACGGGAAUAACCCGCCAUACGUGUAUGGCGCUGAAGGUACCGUAAGAAUAAGGAUCGGCUAACUCCGUGCCAGCAGCCGCGGUAAUA
rnacentral:rRNA from 1 species